rnacentral:lncRNA from 1 species
CUGGCAGGUGCUGCAGCUAAAGUGGUCGUAGUAGGGGCUGCAGUUGUAGUUGUAGCAGGUGCUGCAGAUGUAGUUGUCGUAGUAGGUGCUGCAAUUGUAGUGGUCGUAGGAGCUACAGUUGUCGAAGGAGCUUCAGUUGUUCUUGCAGGUGCUGCAGUUGAAGUGGUCGUAGUAGGUGCUGCAGUUGUAGUUGUUGUAGUAUGUGCUGCAGUCGUAGUGGUUGUAAGAGCUACAGUUGUUGUAGUAGGAGCUGAAGUGAUUGUCGAAGUAGCUGCUGACGUUGUCGUGGUUGGGGAUAUAUUUGUUGUCGUAGAAGCUACAGUUGUUGUUGUAGGUGCUGCUGUUGUGGUUGUCGUAGGAGCUUCAGUUGUCGUUGUAGGUGCUUCCGUUGUGGUCGUAGGAUCUAAAAUUGUUGUAGUAGGAACUGCAGUUGUGGUUGUCGUAGAAACUGCAUUUGUAGUUGUCGUAGCAGCUGCAUUAGUUGUUGUCGUAGUAGGUGCUUCAGUUGUAGAAGUCGCAGGAGCUACAGAUGUUGUCGAAGGAGCUACAGUUGUUCUUGCAUGUGCUGCAGUUGCAGUGGUUGUAGUAGGUAAUGCAUUUGUAGUUGUCGUAAUAGGUGCUGCAAGUGUAGUUGUCGUAGUAGGUGCUGCUGGUGUAGUGGUUGUAGGAGCUGCAGUGGUUGUUGAAGUAGGUGUUGCAGUUGUAGUGGUCAUAGGAGCUACAGUUGUUGUUGUAGGAGCUUCAAUUGUAGUUGUAGCAGGUGCUGCAGUGGUUGUCGAAGUAGGUGCUGCAGUUGUAGGAGCUACGGUUGUCGUUGUUGGUGCUGCAGUUGUGGUUGUUGUAGGAGCUGCAUUAGUAGUUGUCGUCGUAGGUGCUGCAGUUGUAGGUGUUGUAGUUGUCGUAGUAGGUUCUUUUGUUGUGGUUGUCGUUGGAGCUUCAGUUGUAAUGGUCGUAAUAGGUGCUGCACUUGUAGUUGUCGUAGUAGGUUCUUUAGUUGUGGUUGACGUAGGAGCUUCAGAUGUAAUUGUCGUAAU